CGUACGGGUGCGUAACGCGUAUACAAUCUGCCUUUCACAUAGGGAUAGCCCGAAGAAAUUUGGAUUAAUACCUAAUGGUAUAUAGGAGUGGCAUCACAUUUAUAUUAAAGCUGAGGCGGUGAAAGAUGAGUAUGCGUUCUAUUAGCUAGUUGGAGAGGUAACGGCUCCCCAAGGCGACGAUAGAUAGGGGUUCUGAGAGGGAUAUCCCCCACACUGGUACUGAGAUACGGACCAG
rnacentral:rRNA from 1 species